rnacentral:rRNA from 1 species
GACGAACGCUGGCGGCGUGCUUAAUACAUGCAAGUCAACUUGACUUUAGAUAGCAAUAUCGAAAAGUAGGGUGGCGCACGGGUGCGUAACGCGUAGGUAAUCUGCCCUGAGGUCUGACAUAACCCGUCGAAAGGCGGGCUAACAUCAGAUGAUAUAUAAUCACGACAUCGUGGAAAUAUCAAAUCUUCGGAGCCUUGGGAUGAGCCUGCGUCUGAUUAGGUAGUUGGCGGAGUAAUAGCCCACCAAGCCUACGAUCAGUAGCUGGUCUGAGAGGAUGAUCAGCCACACUGGAACUGAGACACGGUCCAGACUCCUACGGGAGGCAGCAGUAAGGAAUAUUGCUCAAUGGGGGAAACCCUGAAGCAGCAACGCCGCGUGAAGGAUGAAAUACUUUGUAUGUAAACUUCUGUAAGAUGGGAAAAAUAUUACUCCUCGGAGAAUUGAUUGUACCAUCAGAGUAAGCCCCGGCUAACUACGUGCCAGCA